rnacentral:rRNA from 1 species
CACGUAGGGGGCGAGCGUUGUCCGGAUUUAUUGGGCGUAAAGGGCGCGUAGGCGGCUGUACAAGUCAAAGGUGAAAUCCCUCGGCUCAACUGAGGAACUGCCUUUGAAACUGUACGGCUUGAGGCCGGGAGGGGGUAGCGGAAUUCCCAGUGUAGCGGUGAAAUGCGUAGAUACUGGGAGGAACACCAGUGGCGAAGGCGGCUACCUGGACCGGUUCUGACGCUGAGGCGCGAAAGCGUGGGGAGCGAACAGG